rnacentral:tRNA from 1 species
CGGGGUGUAGUUCAGUUGGCUUAGAACGCUCGCUUUGGGAGCGAGAGGUCGUGAGUUCGAGUCUCGCCACCCCGA